GGAGGGGACAGCUCAAGUGGUAGAGCGCAUGCUUAGCACGCACAAGGGCCUGGGUUCAAUCCCCAGUACCUCCU
rfam:Camelus ferus unplaced genomic scaffold scaffold743, whole genome shotgun sequence.